rnacentral:lncRNA from 1 species
CUCGCUAAAAUCGUUCAAAUUGAAAUGGUUAUUUUUUGGUACCAGGCAAUAUAGACCAGCAGGGCUUGAGUCAUGAAUAACCCACCCACUUUUUUUUUAUCCAUUUACAACAACAAUAAUAAAUAGUUAUUGAAUUAGAACAUGAUUAAUUUAAGUCAUUAAAUGAAAGGAUUAGUGUGACAUUUUGUAUGUGUUCAGAAUAAAACACAUUCUAAACUAACUGAUUCAUGUGUAAAUGGGUCAAUAUGGACAUCCAUAACCAAAGAAAUUUAAAAAGGGGAUGAUAUAGUACCUAUUCUGGCUACCUGGUUGACCCAUUUGGGGAUUUUGUUCCCUUUUAUAACUUGUAGCACAUAUCUUCACAAACUUCUAUCCUUCUUAACUUGUAACACAUAACUUGUAAUAUAUUUAAUUAAAGCAACACACCGAUAUCUAUUAUAGCGACUUAUACCCAUAAAAAAAGAGAUACCAACAGCAGAAAAAGGAGACAAUUUACAUGGGGUUGGCGCACAUUACUACGGUAACGCGAAGACAUUAAGUAAUCUGCAACAUACCCUAAGUCGUUUUGCAUAUGAAUACCUUAUAUGCAAUCAUUAAUAAGGUAAAAUACAACCGGAAAAGCCACCCCGAAGACCAUUUAUCUUACAUGUGUCGCUGGAACCUAACAUAGAACCCUAGCUUCUGGCCGAAAUAUCAAAGAUUCUGAGCGGAACCCUAAUUCAGCCAAUGUUGCCGCCAUCGUUCAUCUUCAGCCAUUAUCAUCAUCAUCAAUAUUGUAUCUUCUUCAUCUAUGUUUAUCUUUUUACCAUCAUGUACAUUCUCUUCUCUUUAAAGGAGACAUAAAAACAUAAAGAGAGAGAAAACAUGCACUUGCUCUUCUCUUUAAACACUAAUAAAUUCAAUGGCAAAGUCAUAAAUACAAAUGAGGCUGGCUUACCAUAUUGUUGCUAACUUUCUUUUGGGAUCCAAGGAAUGGCAAUCUUCUAACAAUAUCCCCGAGGGGCUAUUGACGAAUGAGUGACAUCAUUCGGUAUGAGCCUUGAUAGACCAAAAUCUUUACAGGAGUGUUUUGGUCAGAAUAGAACAUAGUCGAAAUGCCUGGGUUGAAAUCACUACCGCUUCCUUCAUUAAUCAAGGAUUGUCCUCAUGCACCGUUGAUCGGAAUUGAAGGAAGGCUGGAUUGCGGCUGGAUCGCGGUUGAAUAAAAGGCAUCUUUCUGUACCAAAGAUUGGGUGACUUAUAUCAAUGUUCUGUACCAAAGAUUGUUC